GGAAACGGACAGGUGGAUCCUGGUGGUUGCACCGCUGCACCUUGCAGUCGUCUUGGAUUGGCACUGCUUCUGCAACAUUCACAGCUAAGAUAAAGCAGAAUAACGAGUAAAUUAACAUUGUUCUUACUAACUUGUGAGCCCCUGAAGUGAAACGGGCUUUAAAUAGUUUCAUUGACAUAGGUGGUUCAGCCCUUGAGAGUUCCAAUUAUGCACGCAACGCAGCUGCUGCUUUACUAUAUAGAUUUGUCUCGUUUAACAGGGUCUUCAACUCUUCGUCCUCUCUUUGUCCUCUUUUAUGAGUAAAUGUUGGACAUGUUUGAUUGUUAGCAACCCUUUCUAAUCUUGUUACUAAUUUUCUUUUAUUACCGUUAGUUGUAGUAAAAUUUGAGGAAAAAACACUGAACAUGAGAAUGAAUACCGAUUUGCUGUUGUGAUCAUAGUGGGGUUAGCUUGACUGACUUUUGUUUUUCCACCUUCGUUUCACUACAUUUUGUUUGGUAUGACUAAGAAGUUGACUGACUUUUAUGGGUUCUUUUUAAUGUCUAUCGUUUCUUUUCUAAUGUAGGUGGUUUUUUUCUCACUUUCUUUUUUUCUAAUUUAUCUUUUACUUUUAAAAAUGGCAAAACUCGAAUCAUAUGUUUUUAAAUUACUUAUACAAAUUUUUUAAAAGUGGAUACAAGACAAUGAGAUGAUUUUUUCCACAUGAGUAUGAAACAAUUAUAGUCAUUGUUUGCUCUACUCACCCUAUCUCGAAAUAAUCUUUUACCUUUCUUUGUAUAUAAUUAUUAAAAUGAUAAAAAUGUAAUAAUAUAUUAUAGAAAAAAUUCAUAUGUUUUAUACUUAUAUUUUUUAAAAAUUAUGUUUAAAUAUUUACUUGUCUUAAAAAAAGUAAAAUUAUUAAAAUAACUAGAAAUAAAAAUUAAAUUAAAUUAGAGCGAAGCAAGGUGAGAUGGGAUGGGGAUGGAUGCUUCUAAUAUCUAUGCGGUGAUAGUAAUUUUUCAGAUUAUACAUCCAACACAAGUAAAAAUUCAUAUGCAAGGAAUCAAAAUAUCAGUCCACUAAGCCAAUAAUUUAAUUACAACAUUAAGAUAAUUUAAAACGUAACGAUUACAAACUAAUUUUUUAAAUGUUGGUUGCUUAAAACGUAAGGAUCACAUGCACUAUAAACGUAAGGACCACCGUUGAAAGCCAUGCAAAAAUCUACAAUUUUAUAUUUAUAUGUACAUAUAUACAUAUACAUAUACACGUAAACACUAUAAAUCAUGCCAACCAUUAACAAAGCCAUGCAAAUAUUUAUAUUUAUAUUUAUAUAUUUCAUAUAUUUAUACAUUCACAUGCACAUAACUAAAUACGACAUCAUGCAAAUAUAGUUAUGUACAGAAUAUUGAUAUAUUAUCUCAUUAAUUUUAAAAAUAAACAACACCAAAAGACCAAGCUUUACACUACUCACACGACAUAACAUUGGGUUCACGAAUCCUCAAAGCACUACUCCCUCUGGGCUUUCUAUUAACAGCAACCUCCUUUGUCUUUAUUUGGUUGUGGCUUCUAUGCAGAUUAGACGAGAGGCUUCAAUGGAUGAUAUAAAAGAGGUGGUGUUGGUCAGUGUUGGGCAGAGGUGGCCUGAUGUCGGUGCAAGGAGAUCAACGGUUAGGGACGAGGGUGACUGUGGAGCGAUGAGAUGUUGGGGCGACGGAAGAACUCACGAUGGCGGUGAUAGGGCGGACAAUGGUGCAUUGAUGGAGAUGACUCCAAGGCAGCGUGAUGAAAGGGAGGGACGACUUGGGGCAGUUGGCUGACGGUGUGGCGACUAAGAGGAUCGGUGCUUAGUGAUGGAAUGAAGGAGAUAAUGCCUGACGUUGGGGAGUGAAAGGUGGUAAUCAGUCUUUUAUUAGGUUUGAUAGUAGGAAAGUUUGACCAAAUGUAUUCAUUCUUUUUUAGUCAUAACUCUGAAACCUAAUUGAUGAUGAUGAUAGAGCACACACACCUAAGCCACCACUCUCUCGACUAAGUACAGUUUUUUUUGUUGCUUUUGAAAAUUGUUUUUAGAAAAUACCUUUAAAAAAUACUUUUAAAAAAUUUGAAUAUUUGGUAUUGCUAUAAAAAAAUAUGAUAUUAUAAAGUAAUAAAUAUGUGUUUAAAUAAUAUUCAAAUUAGUUAAUAUUAUGAUAUUUUAGCAAAAAAAUAAAAAAUAAUUUAUUAUAACUUAUUGUUAAUAUUUUAAUAUAUAAUAUUAAUUUUAAAUAUUUCUAAGUAAUUAAUAUUAAUUAUUUAUUAACUUUAAUUAGAAUAUAUAAACUAUAUUUAAAUAUUUAAAUAUAAUAAUUAAAUAAUUGUAAUUAGAUAUUGACACAACUGUAUUAUUAUAAAAAUUAUUUUUUAUUUUUAAUUAAUGCUUUUAACACAUUUGUAUUAUUUUAUUUUAAAAUGUAUUUGAAUAUAUAACUCAUAUUAGAUAUUAACAUAACAUAGAAAACAUAAACCUAAAAAAUUAAAAUAUUACAUAUAUUUGGAUUAAAGUUUUAAAAAGGGAUAAUAUUUAUAUACCAAAUAUAAAUACUAAAAAUUUUACAAUAGCAUUUACAAUUUAAAGUGAAUUCAUUAAACUAGAAGCUAUAGCAUCUCUUGUUAAUUCCAUUUCAAAACCACUUGAAUUGUUUGAUUCACUGUCAUCAUCACUAUCUUCGUCGUCGUCGUCAUCAUCAUCACUUUAUCGACCAUGCGCAUUUUCUGAAUCAAUAAUUGUAAUAGCCCGAUUUUAGGCUUAGUCGGAACAGUGGUUUCGGGACCACAAAUCCGACGAAAAAAAAUGUAAUGGCUUGAAUUUUCAGAGGUGUCGGAACGGUGAUUCGAGAUCACUAAAUUCGACAAAUGGGUAGAAAAUAUUAUUAAUUUAGUAAGUAUAAGUUAAAUAUGAAGUUAGGAAAAUUUUUGAAAUAGUGAAUAGUGCACUAGAAAUAAAUAUUAAAAUAAUUAGAAUCGAAAUGAGGUAUCAAGACCUCGGGGAUUUUAAACUGAGCCAUAAAUAUUUUUAUAAAUAUUUAUGGAGUGUUAAAAAGUUAGUAUUAUAGUUUCGUUAAGAAAUUUUAAAGUUCUGAUAAUUAAUUGAACAAAAAGGACUAAAUUGUAACAAAUGCAAAAUUUUGGGAAAUGAUUAAAUAGCUUAAAUGAUAAAAGGAAGAGGGCUUAAAAGGCAAAUAGACCCAAGGUCUAUUUGGGCUGGACGGCAGAGGCAUGAAAUCAGCAAGAAAGAAAGGAGAAUUAAGGGAAAAAUUGGAAAAUUGCAAAAUUUGCUUAAUAAAGUUAGGACCCAAGUGGAAUUAUCUAGAUUUCUCUUCAUUUUUUUGAAUUCUCAUCAGCUAAAACACCAUGGAAGGGCUUCUUCAAGCUGGUUCUUCAUAUUUUUAUUACAAGUAAGUUCAAUUCUUGACUAUUUCUUGAAAUUUUUGUAUUUUUAUGACUUUUACAACUAGGCCCACUUGUUAAAUCCAUUAUUUUUUGAUUUUAUGAAAGAAGUUGAAAGUUGAUAUGAAUAUGUGCUGGAAGUAUAUGAUGAUUUAGCAUGAAAUUAGAGCUUUAAAUUGUUCAUAUGCUGAUUUUAUUGAAAGAAUUGAAUAGAAAGUGAAUGUUUGGGACCUAAUAGUAAAAGAGUUUGAAGAUAGAGUUAUAUGUGGAAAUUCUGAAUUUCAAUAGUUGUGUAACAACUUAUAAUGUCUAGUAAAGUACUAAUUGAGAAAAUUAGAUUAAUUGAGGGGUUAAUUGAGAAAGGACCGAAUUGUAUAAACUGUGAAAUUUGGGGCAAAAUGGAAAUCAACAUUUUGCACUAAAGCAGUUUUGGACAGCAGCAGUAGUGUAACUUUGAAAAAUCACCAAAAAUUGUAGAGAUUGAAUUAGAGGAUGAAUAAAAUAUGAAACUAAAGCUUAUUGAGUCUAGUUUCUUAUAAAAGAAAUGAUGUGAGCAAUGGAAUUGUAAAUCAUGAGAUAUAAUAGAUUUUGUGAGACAAGGUCAGAAUGAAUUCGGGUUCCCCUGUUCUGACUUUGGAAAAUCAUUAAAAAUUGUACAAAAAUGAUUAUGAGUUUUAGUUUAUAUGGUUAGAAUCCUUAAUGAGUCUAUUUUUAGAAGAAACAAGCUAAAACAUCAUCCGAAUUCUAUACAAUGAGAUAAUUAAUUUUUAGUGAAGAGUGGUUGGAACUGUCAGACAGCAAAACAGGGGAAACUUUAAAGAAUAAACUGUACUAUUUGGCUGAACCAAAAAUUAUGAAAAUUUUAUGGUAUUAAGAUAUGUGAGUCUAGUUUCAGGGAAAAUUAACGGAUCUUAAUUUGGAGCUCUGUAGCUCCGGAUAAAAAUAAUUUAGUGACUCUGACUCGGAUAAAUAGCUUUGAAUAUACAUGUUAGUGAAUAUUGAAAUUAUGGUUAAUGUUGUUUAAGUGUGUUAUACACAUUAAGGAUGUGGAAUGGAGAGGAGGAGGAGGAAAAUUGGGAAAUAUAUGAAUGAUUCGUGUAUAAAUGGUCAUAUGUUUGAUUAUAACUCAUAAACGAUGAAAUAUGAAUGAUGCUUAUUUUUGUGCAUUAUUGGUCAUGGUUUAAGCUCAUGUGUGAAAAUAAAGUUUCAUAGUAUGUGUGUAUGGUAUAUUCAGUAUAUGAUUUGGCAUGAAAUAAUACCAUGAAUGGUUUAUGAAUUAACACAUGUUGGUAAGCCUGAUAUAUGAAUAAAUGAUCAAAUUGAGCGGAACGCCGGAUUUGAGUACUUCUGAUCAAGUGACAAAGUGAUAAGUGGUAGCUUUAGCUACACUUAUCUGAUCAAGUGACAAGUGGAAAGUGAUAAGUAAUAGCUUCGGCUAUACUUAUCUGAUCAAGUGACAAAGUGAUAAGUGAUAGCUUCGGCUACACUUAUCUGAUCAAGUGACAAGUGAAAAGUGAUAAGUGAUAGCUUCGGCUAUACUUAUCUGAUCAAGAGACAAAGUGAUAAGUGAUAGCUUUAGCUACACUUAUCUGAUCAAGAGACAAAGUGAUAAGUGGCUACACUUAUCUGAUCAAGAAACAAAGUGAUAAGUGGCUACACUUAUCUGAUCAAGAAACAAAGUGAUAGGUGGCUACACUUAUCUGAUCAGGGACAAGUGAUAAGUGAUCAUACGUAAGACCAUAGUUAUACUAUGGCAAAGUGAAAGUGAAGUACUCAAUUUUCCGUGACCGUUCCGUAAUUUGAUUAAGGAUGGUAAGUGACAAAUGGGCCCAAAAGAAUUAAAGUAAAUGGAUAAGUGGUAGUGUAUUUAUAUCAGGACGAUGUUGUUAUUCAAACUAAAGUGAUAUUUUCAUUGCUAAAUUGAGAAUUUCAUAAAUGUGUUAUUGAAUGGUAUAAUCAAUAAACAUUGAGUUAAAUGGUAAAUACGUAUUAGUUUUGAAUUUGAUGUCAUUGAAUUGUACGUGAAUUAAAUGGAAAUUGCUAGUGAUAUGAUUUAAAUUAUGAGCAUGAGAAAUUGCGAAUUGAAUGAAAUGGAAAUGAAGCAUUAAAUUGCAUGAGUAUGUAUCGGGUCUCGCAGGCCCUAAUUAUUAUGAAUAUAUUAUUUUGAGGAUAUACUGUGAAAAGUUAUAGAAACAUGUUAAUUAUUUUGAAAGUUUUAAUUUUGAUGAAAUUUUAUAACUCGGUUAAAUACGUUUACAAGUGUAUGUGUUUUGGUAAUGCCUCGUACCCUAUUCCGGUGUUGGAUACGGGUAAGGGGUGUUACAAUAAUAUUCUCAUAUGCCCAGUUAAUAUCUUCGUAUUCCAUAAAAUCUGCAUCAUUUCGACCGAAAUGUUUUCAGAUAAAAUUGUGUAUUGUCAUUGUAGCAACAACGAUCAUGGUUUGCUUUUCAAAAAUAUAACUUGGCAUAUCCCUUAAAAUGGCCCUUUUUUUCAAAACACCAAAAGUUCGUUCAAUCACACUACGUAAUGAUGAAUGUGAAUGAUUGAAUAUCUCUUCUAUACCAGAUAUCGGUCUACCUCUACGAAAGUCAAGUAAAUGAUAUCGUAUGGGUUUUGCUUAUGAUUGCGGCACUCUUUAAUAUGUACCAUUUGCAAUACAUUUAAGUAAAAAUAUUAUUAUAUAUAAAGUCCUAAGGCAGUCAUUAAGAAAACCCAUGUAGUUACUUCAAACAUGUGGUAUUAUUGAUUAUCAAAGUAAUGGCAUUAAAGGCAUGACUUCCCCACUCCACCGGUCCAGGUGCAACUGCAUUAAUGGAGUAAAAAAGACACAUACCUAGCUACAAAACUCAAUUAUGGCUUGUUUCCAAACCUUACCAAACCAUGAACUCAACAUGAUACUUCAAACAAUUGAAUCACCAAACUAAAAGAGAAAAAAAGAAUUUCAAAAACUAGAAUAAAUUGCUUGGAUGUUUAAGUUCAAACCUGGGAAUAUAUAUAUAGAAACGCAAAAGUUGAAGCAAAAAGAAAAGAAAAAAGCCAGUGUAACCUCCAGUAAGAAGCUCAAAAGAAUGGAAAUGCUAGCAUUUACCAAUCAAAAUUAAUAUAUAGUAAAGUAAUUAAGUUGAAAAAAAGAACUUUGCAAAUGAAGAAGAGACAGAAAACAACACACAUAAAAAAUGGACAAAGACUGAUGAUGUUUGUAAACCAUCCAGAAAAUAGAAUAAGAAGAGAACAAAUCCAUCAACCACCUCUCUGAAAACUAUCCAUUUGCCAGCAGAGGAACAAAAAACCAGCACCAGCAGAGGAACAAAGAACGAGCGAUGAGAGAAGAGAUGAGAGCAAAGAACCAGUGUUGUAUGUGUGGUUAAAAAAGUAAAAGACCAGCCCAAAAGUACUUUUCGGCUGAAAAAGCUAAAAAAUUCUACUUUUUCAUCUGCCCAAAAGCACUUCAAAUAAGUUCGAAAUUUGCUACCAAAUGAAGUCUGUUCUGCAUUACUUUUUAGAGAAAAGCACUUUUCCUUUACUGAAUUGAAUUAAUGGAAAAAAACGACAAAGAGUGUAAUUUUUACUUUACUUUACUGAAAGUGAAUGGAUAAAUAUGGAAUUAGAGAAUAAAGAAAAUUGGGGAAAAAAGAAGAAGAAGAAGGAGAAGUGUUGUCAUGAUUAUGACCCUUGGAUAUUAUGGAAGAAGUGAAGAAAUAAUUGCAAUUGGAUAUUAAUUAUAAUGUUGGGAUUUUUAUUAAUGUUUUAAUUAUAUUAAUUGUUACAUGGCCGUGUGGCUCAAAUGGACGUGUGGAAGAGGUCAGUUUAUGUGGCUCCCGUACUUGUUUUGAUUUUCAAUUCUUGAUAAGUGUCAAAAGUAACAUAUUUUAAUUUCGUUCUUAAUACGUUUUUAGAUGAUUAAUCAAUGCAAAAUGGUGAAUUUUAUACUCAUAAUCCUUUAAAUUUAUAUUUCUAUACUUAUAAGAGCAUUUUGAGAGAAAAAUGAGUGAAAACGGAGCGAAAAUCAGACAAUUGGAGUAGAUUUUAGGAGCCACAUGGGUUGGACACACGAUCAUGUGAGCCAUACGAGCUGCCAGACAGCCAUGUGCCAGACCGUGUGGAUUUCGCGUUUCACACUCCAAAUAUGUGGAAUCACGCAGUUUUUAGGUUUUUCGGGCAUUCUUAGACCUAUAUAUACCAAAUAUAAGGAGAGAAGUAAGAGCCGUCAGAGAAUAUUGAAGAAAACAACUCAGAAGACACCAUUGAAGCCAACUUUGAAACAGAUUUCCACUAAGAUUGAAGAUCUCCUUUUGAUUUAUUUGAAGUUUAUUAUGAGUUUCUUUAUUUUUUUGUGGUUAUAUUGUCUUUGAGAUGUUUUUAUUCGCGAUUAUGAACUAAUUUUCUAAUACCUAGGGGAGAUGAACCUUAUGAUGAAUUUUGUCUUUUGAUUUCUGUUUUAUGCAAUGAAUAAUUGAAUCUUAUUCUUAGUUAUGUGUGCUUAAUUCUUGAUUUAAUAUUUUCGAAUUAUUAAUUCAUGUUUGAUGUGCUUAAUUCAAAGUAGAUCUAGCAUAAUUGAGUGGAGUUGCAUGUAAUCUUAGAAAUAGGACGACAUAAAUCUACCGAAUUAGGUAUUCAUAAAUGAGAACUCAAUCAUAUCCAUCGGCACAAAACCCAACCAGGCGAGUCACAUUUACAUAGUGGAUUCUACCCAUCGAACUCACCUCAUUGAUGAACUCUUAAUAGUUAACUAAAGUUUGCUUUCUACUUUUUUUUUAUUUCUAUUUUUAAGAAAAUGUUAUUUUAUUAAUUCAAUUAUCAAAAUUAAUAUUAUUUUAUUUAAAUUAGAUUAAUCCUCAUUUAAUUAUUACAAGUAUAUUAUUUUAGAAUUAUAAAAAUUAUUAUUUAAUAAAUUAAACAAAUAAACAUUUAAAAUCACAUACAUUACAUUAAAAACUAAUAUAUCUAAAUAUAUAUUUUACCACUUAUUUUAAUCUUGUUAUUUUUAAUUUCAUCAAAAUUAUAUAUCACUCGAGCCACUGCGACUGCUGACUGGCGAUUAUUGCCUGCAUAAUUUGAUGAAAGGUUCUGAAUUAAUACAUCCAAGACUUUUAUGAGCAUCGCCAUUGACUGACCGACGACUUGUAUGAAUGAAUUUUCCACAUUAGCUUUAUUAUGGACUGAUUUUUCAAAGAAAGAAUUUUCCACUUGCUCUCAGUUGCAGCCAUAAAAUAAAUGAAUGAUUGGCAUUUUACAUUAAAGAACAUCCCAUUGUUUAUUUCUUCAUCGGAGCUCCACCGGAACCUGAUGAUGUUAAGACCCAGACUUGUCUUGUUUAGCGUCUUUGCCCUUACUUUAUCUCUAUCCCCAGAUGUUUCCGAUGGUAGAGCAGGCAAAAGCAACCACUGCAACCCAUCUUUGUGUGGACACGUUAAUAUCAGUCACCCUUUCCGACUAAAGGGUCAGCCUCGAGAAUGUGGUGACCGUAGGUUUGAAUUAGAGUGCAAGGGAAACCGCACCAGUUUUCCCACGAAAUACGGAAACUUUUAUGUCCUAAACAUCUCUUAUGUUUACGGAACGCUUCGACUUGUGGAUGUGAGUCUGGUCGAUGAAAACUGCUCAAUUCCUCGCAGUUCCAUUGUCGAUUCUUCAGACAGCUAUCUAGAAUACAUAAUAGCGAAUGGAGCAGACACCAUGUAUCUGGUAAAUUGCACGACAAAGAUGAAGUCUUCUUCAGUUUAUGUCGAUGCUUCUCGUUGCCCAACCAAUAGCUCUUCUUCUCCUUGGACCUACUUCUACUUUCCGGUCUUGUUUUCAAAUAUAUCCGAUUUCCAUCAUUCGUGCAGAUUUAUAUGUUAACAUUAAUGGGAGACAACAUUAAUGGCAAACAAUACAAAGUGGUGCAAGUUUAGCACCCUAAAGUUGACUUUGAAAAAAGUGGCAUGGGAUAAUUUUUUUUGGUCAUUGAGAUAAUGGGCUAUUUAUUGUUUGGUCCUUAAACCUCAACUAUAAAUAGGCCUUCUCAUUUCUCAUUUCAAUUCAUCCCAACCAAUCUUUCUCUCUUAGUUUUAUCUCUUCUCCCAUUUGAGAAUUCUUAAGGAAUUCUAUUUGUUUGUAAUAUUUUGGAGAUAGUAAAGUUAUCAUCUGGUUUUAGUAGCCCGAGGACGUAGGUAUAAUUUACUGAACCUCGUUAAAACUCUUGUAUUCUUUUUGUCCUAUUUUUCUUUCAAUAUUUGAGGGUAUAAUAGUAGUAUUUAAUUGUGCUAUUAAAUUACGUUAGAAGGAAUAUUCUGACUAAGGAAAGACUUGGUAUUUAAGAGAUCCUUGUGAUCCACCUCUCUUCCCUGGGAAUUGAACUUUGUGUGAUUUUUAGUACAAUAAUUUACACGCUUCCGACCCUAUUGGAACUACAAGUGGUAUCAAGAGCCGAAGGUUAAUCGUAGUAUGCUCUGUGGUUGCAGUUUAAACUGAUCUUCCACAUCAGAAAAGAUUUCUUUAGGUAUAUUGAAAGAUUAUGGAGAAAACAGUCGGUGUAGGAGCUUCAACAUCGUCCAUAUGGACAAGACCGACAAUUGCAAAUGCAAGAUUGGCCGUGGAGAUCUUUGAUGGCACGGGCCAUUUUGGUAUGUGGCGAAGUGAGGUUCUAGAUGCCCUUUUUCAGCAGGGUCUAGACAUUGCCAUUGAUGAAGAGAAACCAGAUGAUGUACAGGAGAAAGAUUGGAAGGCGAUCAAUCGGUUGGCAUGUGGCACAAUUCGAUCAUGCUUUUCUCGAGAGCAGAGGUAUGCUUUUUCAAAGGAGACUUCUGCAAAUAAGUUGUGGGUGGCACUUGAAGAAAAAUUUUUGAAGAAAAACAGUCAAAAUAAGCUCCACUUGAAGAAAAGACUGUUUCGCUUCACAUACGUCCCAAGUACCACAAUGAAUGAUCACAUCACCAAAUUUAAUCAGUUAGUCACUGAUUUGCAGAAUAUGGAUGAGACAUUCAAAGAUGAAGAUUUGGCUUUGAUGCUAUUGGGGUCACUUCCUGAGGAGUUUGAGUUCCUAGAAACUACUCUACUUCAUGGCAGGAGUGAUAUAUCUCUGAGCGAAGUCUGUGCGGCCUUAUACAGUUAUGAACAGAGAAAGAAGGACAAACAGAAAAACUCAAUCAGAGAUACAGAAGCUUUAGUAGUCCGAGGUCGUUCAUACACUCGGAAGAAAACUCAAAAGGGGAGAUCAAAGUCAAAGUCCAGACUCGGGAAAAAUGAAUGUGCUUUUUGUCAUGAGAAAGGCCACUGGAAGAAAAAUUGUCCAAAGCUGAAGAAUAAGGGAAAAGCUGCUGUAGAUGCUUGUGUUGCUAAGCAUGAUACUAGUGACUCUGAACUAUCACUGGUUGCAUCAUCAUCGUCGUUCCAUUCAGAUGAGUGGAUAUUGGAUUCGGGUUGUACCUAUCAUAUGUCCCCUAACCGGGAGUGGUUCUCUGAUUUAGUAGAACUAAAUGGAGGAGUUGUUUAUAUGGGCAAUGACAAUGCCUAUAAAACUGUUGGGAUAGGUUCAAUCCAAUUAAAGAAUAAAGAUGGAUCAACCAGAGUUCUGACUGAUGUUCGGUACGUGCCCAGUUUGAAGAAAAAUCUCAUCUCAUUGGGAGCCUUGGAAUCCAAUGGUUCAGUUGUUACUAUGAGAGAUGGGAUUUUGAAAGUGACAUCUGGCGCACUUGUGAUAUUGAAGGGCAUCAGAAAAAAUAACUUGUAUUACUACCAAGGUAGUACAGUGAUUGGAGCAGUCGCUGCAGCUUCCGGCAACAAAGAAUUGGACUCAAUACAGUUGUGGCAUAUGAAGUUGGGACAUGCCAGCGAAAAAUCCUUACAAAUUCUGGCAAAGCAAGGAUUGUUGAAAGGUGCAAAGGCUUGCAAAUUAAAAUUUUGCGAGCAUUGUGUUCUGGGAAAGCAAAAGAGAGUGAAAUUCGGUACUGCUAUCCAUAAUACAAAAGGUAUUUUGGAAUAUGUUCACUCAGAUGUGUGGGGGCCUUCCAAGACACCUUCAUUGGGAGGAAAACACUACUUUGUUACUUUUGUUGAUGACUUUUCCAGAAGAGUUUGGGUGUAUACCAUGAGAACUAAGGAUGAAGUGCUUAGAGUUUUUCUUAAAUGGAAAACUAUGAUCGAAAACCAGACUGGCAAGAAAAUCAAGCGGCUUAGGACGGACAAUGGAGGGGAAUAUAAAAGUGAUCCGUUCUUCGAUGUGUGCCAAGAGUAUGGUAUUGUUCGACACUUCACAGUUAGGGAUACACCACAGCAGAAUGGAUUGGCAGAGCGUAUGAAUCGAACAUUGCUGGAGAAAGUUCGAUGUAUGUUGUCCAAUGCUGGGUUGGGCAAGCAAUUUUGGGCUGAGGCUGUGACAUACGCUGGCCAUCUUGUUAAUCGUUUGCCAUCAUCUGCAUUAGAAAGAAAAACUCCUAUGGAGGUAUGGUCUGGAAAACCGGCUACAGAUUAUGAUUCCUUACAUGUGUUUGGAACCACUGCAUAUUACCAUGUGAAGGAGUCAAAGUUAGAUCCGAGGGCAAAGAAAGCUCUCUUUAUGGGAAUCACUUCUGGAGUGAAGGGAUUUCGUCUUUGGUGCUUAAGCACAAAGAAAAUGAUCUGUAGCAGAGAUGUUACCUUUGAUGAAUCUGCCACAUUGAAAAAGGUAGCAGAUAAAGAUAUUCAGACGAGCAAUACUCCACAGCAGGUGGAGUGUACUCCAAAACAGGUGGAGUUUGAGCAGAUGGGGAUUUGCCCAGUUAAUAAGUCUAAUUCUCCAGCCACAAUGGAGGAAUUAGAGGUUGAAGAGGUUCUGACCCAAGAACCACUAAGUACACCAGAACCAGUUGCAGUUGCAAGGCCACGGAGAGAAAUUCGUAAACCUGCUCGAUUUACUGAUAUGGUGGCCUACGCCCUUCCUGUUGUUGAUGAUAUUCCUAUCACUUAUCAAGAAGCAAUGCAAAGCUUAGAAAGUGAUAAAUGGAAAAGCGCCAUGGAUGAAGAAAUACAGUCUCUCCGGAAGAACAAUACUUGGGAGUUGGCGCAAUUACCGAAAGGUAAAAGGGAAAUCGGAUGCAAGUGGGUAUUUGCAAAGAAAGAUGGAUCUCCUAGCAAGAAGGAUAUUCGCUACAAGGCAAGAUUGGUAGCUAAAGGCUACGCUCAGAAGGAGGGAAUUGACUACAAUGAUGUAUUUUCCCCUGUUGUGAAGCAUUCCUCCAUUAGAAUUUUGUUGGCCUUGGUAGCACAGUUAAAUUUGGAGCUAGCUCAACUUGAUGUUAAGACGGCUUUUUUGCAUGGUGAGUUAGAAGAGGAGAUCUAUAUGACUCAGCCCGAAGGAUACACAGAUGCUGGUAGUAGAAAUUGGGUUUGUAAGCUGAACAAAUCGCUAUAUGGAUUGAAGCAAUCCCCGAGGCAGUGGUACAAGCGAUUUGAUAGCUUUAUGAGAAGGCAGAAGUACACAAGAAGCAAAUAUGACAAUUGUGUAUAUUUGCAGAAGCUGCAUGACGGAUCUUUCAUUUAUCUACUCUUGUAUGUUGAUGAUAUGUUAAUCGCUUCGAAGAGCCAAAAUGAGAUAGAUAAGCUGAAGGCUCAGUUGAAUCAAGAGUUCGAGAUGAAAGAUCUAGGUGAGGCCAAGAAGAUUCUCGGCAUGGAGAUAAGUAGAGAUAGACCGAGAGGCAAGCUCUGUUUAAAUCAGAAGCAAUAUCUGAAAAAAGUAUUACAAUGUUUUGGUGUAAAUGAAAACACAAAACAUGUAAGUACCCCACUUGCUUUUCAUUUGAAACUUAGUGCUCAAUUAUCUCCGAAGACUGAAGAUGAAAGAGAAUAUAUGGCGAAAGUCCCAUAUGCUAAUGCAGUUGGGAGUUUGAUGUAUGCGAUGGUGUGUACGAGGCCUGACAUUUCACAAGCUGUUGGAGUUGUGAGCAGGUAUAUGCAUGAUCCUGGAAAAGGACAUUGGCAAGCUGUGAAAUGGAUUCUACGGUAUCUUCGAAAAACCGUAGAUGUUGGUUUAAUUUUUGAACAGGAUGAAGCACUUGGUCAGUUUGUAGUUGGAUAUGUUGAUUCCGACUUUGCUGGUGAUUUAGAUAAACGUCGUUCAACUACGGGGUAUCUGUUUACUCUUGCGAAAGCCCCAGUGAGUUGGAAGUCUACCUUACAGUCUACAGUAGCUGUGUCUACUACAGAGGCAGAAUAUAUGGCAGUUACAGAAGCUGUUAAGGAGGCUAUUUGGCUUAAUGGAUUAUUGAAAGACUUGGGAGUUGUUCAAAGUCACAUUAGUCUAUAUUGUGACAGUCAGAGUGCUAUUCAUUUAGCGAAAAAUCAAGUCUAUCAUUCAAGAACCAAGCAUAUCGACGUAAGAUAUCACUUUGUGCGGGAAGUCUUUGAAAAAGGAAAAAUUCUACUUCAGAAGAUUCCGACAGCAGAUAAUCCCGCAGAUAUGAUGACCAAGGUGGUAACAACAAUCAAGUUUAAUCAUUGUUUGAACUUGAUUAACAUCUUGAGAAUUUGAGCACCUUUAGGUGUAUGGCGCUCGAGAGCGCAUUUGGAGGCACUACAAAAGAUAGCUUUAUCGAAUUUGGGGAGUUGAAGGAAGUGUGUGAAUAUGUGAUUAUCCUAAUCAAAUCUUCAAGGUGGAGAUUGUUAACAUUAAUGGGAGACAACAUUAAUGGCAAACAAUACAAAGUGGUGCAAGUUUAGCACCCUAAAGUUGACUUUGAAAAAAGUGGCAUGGGAUAAUUUUUUUUGGUCCUUGAGAUAAUGGGCUAUUUAUUGUUUGGUCCUUAAACCUCAACUAUAAAUAGGCCUUCUCAUUUCUCAUUUCAAUUCAUCCCAACCAAUCUUUCUCUCUUAGUUUUCUCUCUUCUCCCAUUUGAGAAUUCUUAAGGAAUUCUGUUUGUUUGUAAUAUUUUGGAGAUAGUAAAGUUAUCAUCUGGUUUUAGUAGCCCGAGGACGUAGGUAUAAUUUAUUGAACCUCGUUAAAACUCUUGUGUUCUUUUUGUCCUAUUUUUCUUUCAAUAUUUGAGGGUAUAAUAGUAGUAUUUAAUUGUGCUAUUAAAUUACAUUAGAAGGAAUAUUCUGACUAAGGAAAGACUUGGUAUUUAAGAGAUCCUUGUGAUCCACCUCUCUUCCCUGGGAAUUGAACUUUGUGUGAUUUUUUAGUAUAAUAAUUUACACGCUUCCGACCCUAUUGGAACUACAUUAUAGCCCAGUUUCCUGUCAUGCUUUCCAAUAUUAGUGGCUUAUCCCCUUCGUACAUUUACAAAAACCUGUUGGAAGGCGUCGACGUGUACUGGUAUAUACCCUAUACUGAUUGGACUUUAAACCCGAUUCUCAAAGUGUAAGAGACUUCGAUCUUUAGAUUCUUUCAAUCUAUAACUUUUCAAGGUCUUAUUUAUUGAUUGGUUGCUUUUGUUUUUCCUUGGGGGGGUUAUUCUAGCCUGCUACAUUUGGUGAACUAUCUGCUACUUCCAAUUACAGCAUACAUAGUAAGCAAUGUGGCCUUUCUUCUACCGGGAAUCUUCGGCCAUUAUCCUUUUGGGAAAGGUUAAUCUUUCAGAUUUCAUAAGUAUCUUUAUUUAUUGGAUUUGCCCUUGAAUUGUAUUCGAGUUAGUAAUUUUAUUGUUCAAUUUGCGUUUUAAACAGGAGCCACCUUCGUUUGUCUUGCAGUAUCAGGUAAAUCUCUUUCCCUUCCCACUUUUUAUGUUAUCUUUAUAAAAUAAUCAUGAAUGCUGAUUUAUCCUUGUGUAUGCACCUUGAUGGGCAAGCAGGCAUAUUGUUAGCGAGAACUUUGUUGGGGAUAUUCUGCCUCAUUACACUUGUCAUACACAAACUAAAGAGGAGGCAUUUAUCGAUGGAUGAUAAUAUUGAAAACUUUCUUCAAAGUCAAAGUAAUUUAAUACCAAUUCGAUAUUCGUAUUCUGAAAUAAAAAGAAUUACGGAAGGUUUUAAAGUUAAAUUAGGUCAAGGAGGUUAUGGUUCUGUGUUUAAAGGAAAGCUUCGCAGUGGUCGGCUAGUGGCAAUAAAAAUGUUGGAUAAAUCCAAAGCAAAUGGGGAAGAUUUCAUCAAUGAAGUUGCUACUAUUGGAAGGAUUCAUCAUAUUAAUGUAGUGCAACUUAUUGGGUUUUGUGUAGAGAGAUCAAAACAAGCUCUUGUAUAUGAUUUUAUGGUGAAUGGGUCUUUGGAUAAAAUUAUAUUUUCAAAGGAGAAUUGCACUUUAAGUUGGCAAAAAUUAUUUGAGGUUGCAUUAGGUGUGGCUCGAGGGAUUGAGUACUUGCACAGGGGUUGUCAAAUGCAAAUUUUGCAUUUUGAUAUCAAGCCGCACAACAUUCUUUUGGAUGAAAACUUUAUCCCUAAAGUUUCUGAUUUUGGUCUUGCAAAAUUAUAUUCAGUGGAUGACAGUAUUAUUUCUCUCACAGCGGCUCGUGGUACAUUAGGAUACAUUACUCCUGAAUUAUUUUACAGAAAUAUUGGAGGCAUCUCAUAUAAAGCCGAUAUUUAUAGUUUUGGAAUGUUAUUAAUGGAAAUGGUGGGAAGAAGAAAGAAUUUGAAUGCAUUUGAUGAUCAUUCUAGUCAAAUCUAUUUUCCGUCAUGGAUUUAUGAUCGAUUUGAACAAAGAGAGAACAUAGAAUUAGGGGAUGUAACAGAAGUUGAUGACAAAAUAGCAAGGAAGAUGAUCAUGGUUGCAUUUUGGUGUAUACAAAUGAAUCCCACUAAUCGUCCUUCAAUGAGCAAAGUUUUGGAAAUGCUCGAAAAUGAACUUGAUCACCUUGAAUUGCCGUCCAGACCUUCACUAUUUUCUCUCGAAAAGUCAAUUGAAGAUCAUGUUAGUAAGAAUGUAUCGGAGGAACCAUCAACGUCAAAAAGUUGUGUGGACCUCUAAGUAUAAUGUUUGAUUUUAUUCGGUCCUUUUAUACAUAUAGUUCUGCAACUGUAAGCUUUUAAUUUGUAGCUUUUCAUGUUCAGUUGUAUAAUAUCCAGCAUCAUGUAAUACAACUAUUAAUGGAUGUGUGUUUUAGACUUUAGCUCCUUAGCUUCAUGUUUCAAUUAUUAAAAAUGUCUCCUUGUCACCGUAUGACGAGUUAAUAUCAAAUUUCGUUUACAAUUAUUUAGUAUAUAAGUAACUCUUAACAUUGCGUGAUCUCAUGAGAAGGUUUUUACUCUCGUAUCGUAAUAUAUAAUCAUGCUGAUAAGAGUAUUUUGUAAUAAUUAUGAGUGUGGUGUGACAGUUGCUCACUUUAUUUUUUAAUCAUGUAGCUCAUAGAAAUGGAACACCUUCCAAUGAUGAAUACCUUAAUUUUGACAAUUAAACAACAGUUAAGAUAGAAUCUUAUCAUUUAUUAGUAGAAUUUAUAUACCAACAGCCAUGCAGCGUUUCAUUUAUGAGUUCAAAUAAAAUCAAGUUUCAACUGAUUCUAGUACUACUAACAAUGAGGCUCGAGAUUGUUCUUAUUCCAUUUCUGAAAUAGUGGGUAGAUCUCUGUUAACCGGCUUCCUAGGUAUGGUGGCACCUAUCGUCUUCGGUGGAUCUAUCGACGCAAAAAGAUUUGGUGGCAUUGUAAGAACGUCAAGCUCUCCCUCUAACAUCUGAACCACCACUUUCAUCGAAGGACGAUCAACGGGAUACCACUGAAUGCACCAAAGUCCAACGAUCAUGAGUUUCUUUGCUAUCCCUGUUUGUGCAUCAUCUUCAAUUCGAAUCCCGAACUCCUCUCCUUUAUCCAAACGAUCAUAUGCCCAUUCUGGGAAAUACACUUGGCUUGUAUUCUCGACCGUAACAUCUAUGUUCUUUCUCCCCCCAACCAUUUCAAGCAACAGCAUUCCAAAACUAUAAACAUCAGACUUAUAUGACACAUUUCCGAAGUUGCGAGACAGUACCUCAGGUGCAAUAUAGCCCAUGGUACCUCUAGCUGUUGUCAUUGAAAUAGCACUUUGUUCCUUGGAACACAAUUUAGCAAGGCCGAAAUCAGAGACCUUAGGAUUGAAGUUGUGAUCAAGCAAAAUAUUGUGAGGUUUGAUGUCGAAAUGGAGGAUACGUUGCUCACAACCUUGAUGCAGGUACUCGAUGCCUUUGGCUACACCGACAGCAAUAUCCUGAAGUUUUUCCCAACUAAGGGAUCGAUCCUUGCCCUUGGCUGCAAAUAUGAACUUCUCUAAUGACUCGUUUGGUAAGUAUUGUUAAAGCAAAUAGAAACUAACACAGAAAGAAAUAAAAGAUCAAGAAGAGAAUUAUUGUUUUUCAUUGCUUUCAAAAUUGAUACGUGCAUGCAUUUAUACAAGUGAAGUCUAACUGACGUAAGCAAAGUAACUGCUAUUUAACUAACACCAGCUUUUAACAAACUAGCUACUUUUUGCAUGCAGUUACAACUGCAUUACUCUUAACAUUCCCCUAGUCAGUCGAUUUCUGAUUUUUAAGUUCAUCAGGCGACAAGACCCUAAGAGCAUAUCGAAACGUAGAAAACAUCUUAGGAGUAAUUGGUUUAGUUAGAACAUCUGCAAUUUGUUGAUCAGAUGGCACAAAAUUGACUUGUAAGUGACCUGCAAGGAUUUUUUCCCUGACAAAAUGGUGAUCGAUUUCAACAUGCUUCAUUCUAGCAUGAUGCGUGGGAUUCUCAGCCACAGAGACUGCAGAGGAAUUGUCGCACCACACAACUGGCACUUUGGAUGGAAAAAUGCCUAUUUCAGCCAACAAUUGUUGAAGCCAUAAGAGCUCAGAAACGCAAUUUGCGAGACUACGAUAUUCUGCUUCAGCAGAAGAUCUUGACACAACUGGCUGCUUCUUUGAACACCAAGCAACAGGAUUUGAGCCUAAGAACACAACAUACCCGGAGGUUGACCGUCGAUCCUCAAUGGAUGAUGCCCAGUCUGCAUCAGAGUAGCAUACUAGUUUGAGUUGACUGGGUGUUAGAAACAAACCAUGAUCUAUGGUACCAGCUAGGUAUCUCAGAACCCGUUUUAGUGCUCUCCAAUGAGCUUCUCUUGGAGCAUUCAUGAACUGGCUGAGUUUAUUGACACUAAACGACAGAUCCGGCCGUGUUAUACACACAUAUUGUAGCAUCCCUACAACACUUCUGUACAAGUGAACAUCUACCAAUGGAGGACUAUCAACUGAAGCGGCUAACUUUGGAUUGCUUACCAUAGGUGUUGGUGUGGGGGUGGCCUCGACUAGCCCAGUUUUUUUAAGUAAGUCAACAAUAUACUUCUUCUGACUGAGUAGAAUUCCCUGUUUAGUGUGCUGAACAUCAAUUCCCAGAAAGAAAUUGAGCUCUCCCAUAUCCUUGAGAGCAAAUUUGCUAUGAAGGUGAAGUAUGACAUCUGCCAUUUCUUGAUCAGAACUACCUGUGAGAACAAUGUCAUCAACAUAGACCAUGAGCAGAAGUUUCUUUCCAUCAGAUUCACGAAUAAACAAGGAGGAGUCAGCCUUGGAUGCUUGAAAACCAAGCUGAUCAACAAGGUACUGUUUAAGAGUUUGGAACCAUGCACGGGGUGCUUGUCGCAGACCAUAGAGAGCUUUGUGCAACUUACAAACGAGCUUCUGACUCGAGGAAUCACAUACUUCAAAACCAGGGGGUUGCUCCAUGUACAACUCUUCAGUCAGUUCUCCAUUGAGAAAGGCAUUAUUAAUGUCAACUUGCCUUAACGACCACCCAUUUAUAACAGCAAGAGCAAGAACCGUGCAAAUAGUGGAGGCUCGAACCACCGGACUAAACGUGUCACGGAAAUCAAAUCCUGCAUGUUGAGAGAAGCCUUUUGCUACCAGCCGAGCUUUGUAUCUGUCCACUGAUCCAUCAGCCUUUUUUCUUUAUCUUAAACAGCCACUUGCAUCCGACUGCCUUCCGAUUACUUGGUAGUGAGCAGAGUGUCCAAGUGUUAUUACGAGUCAAUGCCUGUAAUUCAUCACGAACAGCUGUUUGCCAGUCUGGAGAUGUCAUUGCAGUGUGAAUAUCAGAAGGAACCUCUGCUGAAGAGCAUUGGACUGUACUCAUAAAAACCUUUGGUUUGAAAGUUCCAACUUUACUUCUGGUAACCAUGGGAUGUAUGUUGAGGGAAUUUGAAUGAGAAGCUUGUAAUGUUUGAGGUGUAGGUGACAUUGAUGAGGUGGCUGACGUAGGGGUGAUAGGUGUUAACGUAUGAGGUGAAAGUGAAUUCGGUGAAAUAGUGGGGUUAGGUUGUUAUUGUACAGCUUGAUGGUCAGACAAGGAAAGAGGUGAUGUAGGUGAGGGACUAGGUGGUGUAGGUUGAUUAUGAAAAGAAGUGGUGGUAGGUGGGGUAGCAUGAGAUAUUUGUUUGAGAGGUAGGACCAGAAGUUUUGCACUAGACUGAGACACUGGGUUAGACGAGACAAGUGAUGGAGAAAAAACUUUAUAUGGGAAAAUGUGCUCAUAAAAUGUGACAUGACGUGUUACAUAGAUUUUUCCAGUUGUGUCCUGGCAUUUGUAGCCUUUAUGCAAUGAUGAGUAACCUAGGAACACACAGGGUGAAGACCGAAACUGGAGUUUGACUUUGUUAAAUGAUCUAAGAUUUGGGAAGCACAGGCAACCAAAAAUUCGAAGGAAUGCAUAGUCUGGCUUUGUUUUAAAUAGCUUCUCAUAAGGUGAUAUAUUUCCCAAAGGCUGAGAGGGUAACCUGUUGAUCAGGAAGACUGCGCUGCAAAAAGCUUCAUUUCAAAAUUUUAAAGGCAUGGUAGCAUGAGCAAGCAUGGACAGACCUGUUUCAACCACCUGUCUGUGUUUGCGCUCAACAAGGCCAUUCUGUGCAGAAGUGUAUGGACAAGAGAGACGCUGGACAAUCCCUUGCUGAGCUAGAUAGGGCUUUAAUGCCUGAAACUCUCCACCCCUAUCCGUUUGUAAAACAUGUAGCUUUGCUCCAAGAACUCGUUCAGCUUGACGAUGGAACUGAGGAAAAACAGUAGCAACCUCUGACUUGCUCUUCAAGAAGUAAAGCCAUGUAUAACGAGAAUAGGCAUCAGUGAAGGCAACGUAGUAACAAAAACCAUUAGAGACAAUUGGAGCUGGCCCCCAAACAUCAGCAACGAUCAACUGUAAAGGAGAGCUGUAUGUUGUAGUUGACUUGGAAAAAAGGGAGUUUAUGCUCUUUACCCAUAUGACAAGCAACACACUCAACAAGCUUUUUAUUAUCAGUAAACUGAAUAUUACAAUGUGAAAGAGCUUUUGUAAGAAUAGCACGACAGGGGUGCCCUAGCCGAGAGUGCCAAACAUUUAAAGGGAGCAUUUUGCUAACUGUAAGACAUUGAGCAUGUUUUGAAGACAGUCCACUUUGAGGAAGUUUGUUGAGAUGAAGCCUGUACAAGCCAUGAUGCACAGAACCCUUCAGGAGAACCUCUCUAGUCUGUAAAUCACGGACCUGACACUGAGUGGGAAAAAACUCAAACAUCACCCUGUUAUCUUUAGCAAACUUUGACACAGAUAAAAGAUUUUUAGUAAUACUAGGCACAAGCAACAAGGAUCUCAUAUACAAUGGUCGAGAUCAAGUAAUUAGUGAUGACUGCCCUGUAGACAGAACAGGAAGAGCAGAACCAUUGCCAACAAACACUUUACCUGGUCCUUUGUGUGAGUCACUGUCACUAAGAGAAGUAAUUGAAUUUGUAAGAUGAUGUGUGGCACCUGAGUCUGGGUACCAGGAGUUAUCAGCCACUGUUUCAGGAGUAGCCACAUAAGCCUGAGAUUGUGCUACGCCAGAGGAAGGCAUGCUGACCUGUUGAAAUGGGCUACCAACACACGGGUUAGGCCAGGUAGAUGGAGAGGGAAUUGGAAAACACCAACCUGGUGGAAACCACUGCAUAUUUUGUUGAGGAGGUGAUGACCACGGUAUUGUAGUGGGACUGGAGUUGACCAUACAAACGUUUGCUUGAGGAUGAGGCCGAUAGUUACUACUUUUGUAAGUGGAGUCAAACCGAUGGUAGCAGCGGUCGACUAGAUGCCCAGGCUUUCCACAUAGCUGACAUUGAAUCUUUGAGCCAGAGAAACGCCCUCGACCACGGCCCCGAGAACUAGUUGAUGAUUUGUAAGCAGGUACGGAACUAUUGUCAACAAUAGUUGUUUCUGAAUUCUGAUGAGACACCAUGUUGGCUGAGCUAGAAACAUCAGAGAUCACAACCUGUUGCCGAUUUUCAGUAUCAAGAAGCAUGGACGUGACUCCUUGAACUGUGUAAGGAACUUGACUUGCUGCAACAAUAGAAAUUACAGAUUCAUAUUCAGUAGAAAGACCAUUCAAGAUUGCUGUAACAUGCUCGCGCUCACUGAUAACUUCACCAUAACUAGCCAAAGCAUCACAACAACUCUUAACCUUCAUCAAGAACUCUUUCAUACUCAAGUCACCUUUGCGUUGGGAGUGCAAAGAUCUUCGAUGAAACAUUAAUUUGGAGGUUGUUUGCGUACCAUAUAAAGCAAUAAUAGCAUCCCAGAUUUUAGCACUGGUGUCCAUACCAAUGAGAUGAGGAAGAACAGUUGGAUUAAUCGAAGAUAGCAACCACGAUGCAAGCGCACUGUCUUGCUGUUCAUACCGCUCAAAUUCUGGAUUUUCCCGAAGACCACCAUUGUCACCUGCAAUAAACUGGACAGGAGUUUGCUGUGAGUCCAAGAACCCUUGAAGCUUAUGCGCUUUUAGUGCCAAGAGAACCUGUUGCCUCCACAGCAAAUAGGUAUUAUCAUCAAGAAGAAUACUAAUCUUCUUUGUAGAAAAUAACCUAUUGUCGACUACACCAUCAGCCGCAGCACAAUCCAUGACAACAAAAACAAAAGAGUAGCACAGCGGAUAGACGAGAAAGCUGACCCAGGAGAAGCCUUAAUCUGAUACCAUGUUAAAGCAAAUAGAAACUAACACAGAAAGAAAUAAAAGAUCAAGAAGAGAAUUAUUGUUUUUCAUUGCUUUCAAAACUGAUACGUGCAUGCAUUUAUACAAGUGAAGUCUAACUGACGUAAGCAAAGUAACUGCUAUUUAACUAACACCAGCUUUUAACAAACUAGCUACUUUUUGCAUGCAGUUACAACUGCAUUACUCUUAACAAGUAUUCAUAAACGAGAGCUCGGUCAUAUCCAUCGGCACAAAACCCAACAAGGCGAGUCACAUUCACAUGGUGGAUUCUGCCCAUCGAACCCACCUCGUUGACAAACUCUUCACCAUUUCCCUUGAAAUUAUUGAGUACCUUGACAGCAACUAAAACAUCACUGGAAAGCCUGCCUUUGAAGACAGUUCCAUAGCCUCCUUGUCCCAGUUUGUCCUUGAAAUGAUUAGUUAUCCUUUUAAUAUCAGCAUAGGAGUAUCUUGAGGGUUUAAGCUCUUUAUAAUCUUCCAAAAACUUUUCAAUCUUGACUUGACUUUCUUUCUCCUUUUUGUCUAACCGAUAUCUCCACCCAACUGCAAUGGCAAUGGUUGCAGCAAUUGAAGAACCCAACACAAUACCUGCAAAUCAGCAUACAUCCCUGUGUUAUAUCCUGUCUAAAAUUAUUGAAGCUAAAAGGGAAAUUCCAUUUACCUGCAACCAUUAGCCUUUCUCCCAAACCUGCCAAACAUUUAAAAUUAUUCAGCUUUGAUACAUGGGAAAUCUAAGAAAAGGGCUCACUGUAAGUUUACAACAUUAAGCUUCACUUUGAUGCAGGCUAAUGAUUUUUUUUUAUAGUUAUAAUAGUUAAAACAUACCUAUAUGGUGUUUGGGGAUAUCAAAACACUCGGUUUGUUCCUUGGUGCUAUUAUUGUUGUUCAAUCUACAUCCCCUUCCUUGAGCUUCGCAAUCACCACAGUCUGGUUUAUACCAACGUAAUUGAAAACGGUUACCAUAAGGAGAAAUGGGCGUUGAGAAGUUGCGAAAGUAGCUGCAAUUCAACAGGUUCUCUGGAUAAAUAGGGUCAUAAGAAGCAAAAGCUAUAAUUUGGGAGCCAGGGGUGCUUAAGCAAUCGACUCUGUUUCCUUCAUACAAAGCCUUAUCUUGGCUUGAACAUUCAAACAAGGCAUAGUUGGAUUCAGUUGGCUGGGAUAUAUAAACUUUUAGGCGGCUGAAACCUUGUUGUUCCACCGCGAAUGGAAAGGCAGAAAAAUUGAGAUCUAAAAGCUGCCGCCAGAGGCAACCGCCGGGAAAGUCCAAGUUAAUCCGCUGAGCUUCAUAAUCUAUGUGCUUCACCAACAGCUCCAGCGAACGUGGUAUCUUCAGCAGGGUCUGUUUGUUUUCUGAGCAGGAAAGCUGAAACCCAGGAUGAGGAUAGCCGCAGUGGGGUGACUGCUGGCCUUCUAAACGGAAGGGGAAAUGGACAGGUGGAUCCUGGUGGUUGCACCGCCGCGCCUUGCAGUCGUCUUGGAUUGGCACUGCUUCUGCAACAUCCACAGCUAAGAUAAAGCAGAAUAACGAGUAAAUUAACAUUGUUCUUACUAACUUGUGAGCCCCUGAAGUGAAACGGGCUUUAAAUAAUUUCAUUGACAUAGGUGGUUCAGCCCUUGAGAGUUCCAAUUAUGCACGCAACGCAGCUGCUGCUUUACCAUAUAGCUUUGUCUCGUUUAACAGGGUCUUCAACUCUCCGUCCUCUCUUUGUUCUCUUUUCUGAGUAAAUGUUAGACAUGUUUGAUUGUUAGCAACCCUUUCUAACUUUGUUACUAAUUUUCUUUUAUUCCCG
rnacentral:lncRNA from 1 species